rnacentral:rRNA from 1 species
UACGGAGGGUGCAAGCGUUAUCCGGAUUCACUGGGUUUAAAGGGUGCGUAGGUGGGUUGGUAAGUCAGUGGUGAAAUCUCCGGGCUUAACCUGGAAACUGCCAUUGAUACUAUCAAUCUUGAAUACCUUGGAGGUGAGCGGAAUAUGUCAUGUAGCGGUGAAAUGCUUAGAUAUGACAUAGAACACCAAUUGCGAAGGCAGCUCACUACACGGUCAUUGACACUGAGGCACGAAAGCGUGGGGAUCAAACAGGG